UUUGCAAUCUCCUCCUUUCUCUCUUCACCACUCCCUCUGGCUCUGAGAUCCGACCGAUGGUUAUGGCAUCGCCUCUUUAUCAUUAUCAAUAUUCUGGCGUUGCCUUCUAUGCUAGUCAAAAUGUUUCCUCAGUCUAUUCGGAUUGGACGCAAUCCGUUUCCUGAUGCCGCAAGGAAAUCGGCGAGGAGCAGGAGGUGGUCAUCUUGUUAGGGAAUUCGUGCACAUUGGACAGAGGGGAGCCCGUCUCGACAACAGCAGUUGACGGGGUAUGCUUCGGCCACAUCCACUGUCUGUAACAUUUCCUUACUUUCGGAUUGGUGGCCGUUAGAGCCUGCACCUGAACAUUUCCUUCAUGCCUUACAACGUUCCCCGAGGUGGAGGGAUUGCUCAUGAUAAUUGUCAGCUACACCUGAACAUCUUGUUUCUCGUAUCAUGUUGCAUGCAUCAGAGGCCACUUUGUCCGGCAGCGCGGGCCUAAAGUAAGGCCUCUUCUAAUUGGUGAGGGAGAGUUGCGUUUUCAUGGGUUUUCUUAGAAAGGUCUGCUCCAAUUAGUAGUUUGAGAAUACCUAUGGAAGUGAAAGGAUACCAGCCCACAGUCAAAGUCAAGAACCAGCUGCACCGAAACCUUUGAUUAGUAUCGCCGCCCAGAAAGAGACUAAAAAAAGUUUUCUAUUCAAUUAUUCAAGUUUCUUGGAAACGAGAAUUGGAUCAAAACCAUGGGCAUUGUUUGAAUGAAUGAAAAUUUUAUUCAUGAUAGCGUUCUUUUAGUACCGUGUCGUAUGGUUUCAUGCAUUAUCAGAUGCCUAUUAUUUCUGUGUUUGCGUUAUUUGGUCUCUCGUGCCCAGGUUGUGAAUCUUCCAUUUCGGCAGCCGACUGUUUAUGGUCGCUUACGGAACAUGGACGCAACAACUAUGCUGAGUUAGAGCGAGAAACAACGAGGAGGGGAGAGAGAAAUAUAUGCACAUAUAUUGUAGGACGUUGCACCAUUUUGAAGUUUGUUCUGCCCUUGUCUUCUUCGAGCCGUAAAUGGAGUCUUUCCUACCUUUUGUAGGUCAUAAAAAAGGAAGACAGUUGUCAAAGGAUUACAAUAUGCUGAUUCGUGAGGCCAUUUUCCGUCUCGUCUCCUUUCCACUCAGGUCUCCUCUCCCGCCCGCCUUGUGAUUCCCUUCUCGUUAACAUCCCAAUAUUUUUUAAUUUAGUUUCUUCGACACGUUCUUUGGAAAUCAACAGAUUUAACAUCUUUCCACUUGCAGAUGAUUAACUGAGCCGCGAGUGAACAGAUCACGAAGACAUGCUUCCCCCGCAUCACAUGCUUCCACCACG
rnacentral:lncRNA from 1 species